rnacentral:piRNA from 1 species
AAAACACAGAUACUUGCCCAAAUGUUUGCAC